UACAGAGGGUGCGAGCGUUAAUCGGAAUUACUGGGCGUAAAGCGCGCGUAGGCGGCUUUGCAAGUCGGGUGUGAAAUCCCCAGGCUCAACCUGGGAACUGCAUUCGAGACUGCAUUGCUAGAGUAUGGGAGAGGGAAGUGGAAUUUCCGGUGUAGCGGUGAAAUGCGUAGAUAUCGGAAGGAACAUCAGUGGCGAAAGCGACUUCCUGGACCAAUAACUGACGUCAUGUGCGAAAGCGUGGGGAGCGAAACAGG
rnacentral:rRNA from 1 species